GUCAGCACCCCGCACUCUCUGUGACGGGGCUUCAUGCCUCUAACUUUAGUUAGUUCGUACCCGCCUAAGCCUAACAGCUACGUUUUCUGGAUCAUAAUACCCACGAAUGCGACGCUAGUUUGUGGCUCUAUUGUUAACAAUUAAACAGUUUNCGCCUCGCCCCUACUCAAUUAAGAUUGCUAUAUCUGAUUUACAAUUAAUUUUUUAACCUUUCAAUAGUCUAUUUCUAUGUCUACUCCCGAAAAACUCUACGAAGGUAAAGCUAAAAUCAUCUAUCCUACAGAUG
rnacentral:sRNA from 1 species